rnacentral:lncRNA from 1 species
AAUACAAUCAAUUGAUGCAUGUAUGAUGUAUAUUUGAAUUUUAUAUAAUCAAUUAACCAUCAAUUCAAAAUAGUUCUUUGAAAUAAAUACACAAAUAUCAUAAUAUAUUUACUUGUUGUAUAACUUACAUGGUAUCUUAAGGUAUUCUAAAAUUUAUCCCUCUUUAGCAUAUAUAUAUAUAUAAUAAGACUGGCUCUUUGGAGUUAGUAGAUUUUAUUUUUAAUCAUUAUCUUUAGUAAAAUGUUAAAAAGUGCUGAGAAGAUUGUAAAAUGACAAAAUAAUAAGUUGAUUUAAGUCCAUCUUAACCAUAUAUGAAUAAAAAUACAUAUGUAUUUUAAUUAACUAAAUAAGUUUACAUCGGUCUUAUUUUCUGAGCAAAAUUAAAAAUUUCCACUGAAAUUAUAGUUUUCAAAUGGGUUAUAGUCUACUUGAGGUUUUGUUAACAAUAUAGUGAGCAAAAUCAUAAGUUUUCUUAACAUUGCCAGUUUCUCUGAUUGUUUAUUAUGCAAUUUAAUUUCAGUGGAAUAUGAAGAAGUAGCUGGCAAGGACUGAUAUGAGUGAACACUUGGCUUCGUCCCUGCAUCGGGUGAUACCUAAUUACUACUAUGCUUCCUUCCGAAACUAUUACUAUUGCUGCUUUAUGUACAUUUCGAAAGCAGUGUAUGAGCGCAAAGCACUGUGUUUUUCAAGAAAUAUGUCAAACAAUCCCAUUGAGGUUAUUCUUUUUCCCUUGGCUGCAAUUGUUUUGACAUUGUCCAGUUCAUGCUAUCGGUUAGGCUAGCCUUGUGAAUGAGAAUGCUCAUGUAUUGAAGCUAAGUCAAAUUUUACUUUGAUCAUAUGCGUAUCGAAGCUUGUUUGUGAAUAUCGUUUUUUGAUUGAUUGAGCUUUUUUGGGUAGUAACGGCUAUAAUAAUAAAAAUAAUAUGGGCGGUGAGGUUUGGACUCUUUUAGGGAUGGCAAUGUGCUAGGGUUUGGUUUUGGUGGGUUUGGUUUGACCCACAUGGAGAUGGGGCUGAAUCACCCCAUGCUACAUGUAUGUGUGUGUGUAUGAGCCUGCCAGGGUAAUGGGUUUCGAUUGUGAUGAUGUUUUGUGUUGUGUGGUUGUAAUUUAGGUAGCGUUUACUUUUUGGAUUUGAUUGGGAAUUCUGAGGAGUGGGAAUCCUAGGAUUGGGAGUGUGGAGUGGGAGUGAGAAUGGGUUGUUUACUUACACUGGAAUGGAAGUAUGAAAUAGAGAUCAGAAUCCAAUUUAUGCGUUUACUUUGUCUUAGAUUGGGAGUAAAUAGUUUUAAAUUACAAUUUUAUCCUUAUUUAAAGAAUUAUAAUUUUUAAUUACAAAACUAAUAAAAAAUAUAUUUAAUGAAUAAUAUUUAUUUUAUUAUAUUUGUAAAUUUAUUAUAAUUAUUAAUAUUCUUAAUUAUGAACAAUAAAUUAUUAAUUUUAAUAUAAAAUGAAGCCUUAUUUUAUUUUAUUUAAUAUAAUUAUAUUAAAUUUAUUAUUAUAUAAAAUAAUAAUAUAAUAUUAUUUAGUACAAAAUUAAUAUUUUCUUAGAAUAAACUAUUUAUUAUUAUUAAUAUUAAAUAAAUAUAGUACUAUUAUUUUUAAAAUAAAUAUAAUAAUAUUAUAUUUAUUAAUUCUCUAUUAAUAUAAUAAUAUUAUUUUAAAAUAAUUUUAACUUAUAAUCAAUACAAAUUAUUAUUUAGUUAAAUAUAAUAUUAUUAUUCAAAUAAAUAUAAUAAUAUUAUUCAAGUAAAUAUAAUAUUUUUUAUUUUAUUUUAUUAAUUAUAAAAUAUUAAAUUAAAAAAAUAAAAGGGUAAAAAAGGGAGAGGUGGGAGUGGAUUCCCACUCCCACUCCCCACUCCAAAAAUGAGUGGGGCCCACGGAGUGGGAUUUCCACUCCCUUCCCAUUUUAAGGAAGUAAACGCUGGAGUGGGAGGAAUCCACACUCCUCACUCCCACUCCAGCAAGUAAACACAGCCUUAGUGGAGCUAGGUGCAUGAAUUGGGGACACGUAUUCUUGUUGAUANN